GGGGGAUUGGCGCAAUUGGCUAGCGUGUGAGAUUCCAGCGACAAAUAAGUCUGAAAUUCCUCAAGGUUGUCGGUUCAAGUCCGGCAUCCCUCA